CCGACGGUGAGGGGUGAAAGCUGGGGGAGCAAACCGGAUUAGAUACCCGGGUAGUCCCAGCUGUAAACGAUGCGCGUUAGGUGUAUCAGUGACCACGAGUCACUGAGGUGCCGAAGAGAAAUCGUGAAACGUGCCGCCUGGGAAGUACGGUCGCAAGGCUGAAACUUAAAGGAAUUGGCGGGGGAGCACCACAACAGGUGGAGCCUGCGGUUUAAUCGGACUCAACGCCGGAAAUCUCACCGGAUAA
rnacentral:rRNA from 1 species